rnacentral:lncRNA from 1 species
GUAGUUUUUAUUUUUAUUUUUUAAAUAUCAUAUCAUUCACUUCAAAGUUAAAAAUUAUUCUUUUGAAAUAUGAAGAUCCGUUUAAAAAGCUAACAUUUCUCAACAGACGCUCUUUCAUAUGUACCAACUCGAUUAGAUAUCAUACUUGUAUAGUUACGAGAUAUAGUUAUUUAUAAACCGUAUCGUGUCAUAUUAUAUUGGUAGAUGAAAUAAUAUAAUAUACUGUAUAAUUUGUCUAACAAGACUAGUUGCAUGAUUAGGAGACGUGCCUAAUCAUGUCCUUAUCUUUUUGUCCUUAAAGUAACCAAAAAUAGAGUUGCAAAGGUGUUAUAUCUACUUGUUUUAAUAUGUUUAAUUCUGCAAAUGAUACAUCACAAAUUAUAUAUAUAUAAUAGAUUAAGUGUGUAGGUACAUGUAUCUUCUAUAGCAACCAUAGACUCAUUUAGAGGAUCACUUUAAUAUCUACACUGUAAUCACACUAACUAGUUGAAUAAGUUGCAUUGUCAAGAAAAAAUAAUUAGUUCAAUAGGUUAAACCAAUGUGAUUAUAAUUAGAUCAGAUCAGCUUUUUGAAUCGGAAUAGGGGUCUGAUCUGGCUCAUGCAGUCCAUGAGAAACUACCAUAAUGUGAUUAUUUACUCGAUGGCAUAUUAACCAAUUUGAUUCUAAGACUUUCACCCAAAACAUUGCUCUCAAUUCAAGUAGAUUGUGAUAUGUAAUGGCCGGAGUUUGAACUCUAAAUUUCUUAUGCGUUUGAUUUGUUAAAAAAUAAGGAUAGGAUAUGACAACUUCAAUUGUAAGGUGUUUAAUUUGUAAAAUUGUUUUUGGAACAUGACAAACUAGAGGUCAGAGAUUGGACGAAAACUGAAAUUCUUGACCCUCACUAAGCCACGACACAACUUUUUGUCUCACGUACACGUUGUCUAAAAUAUCAAAAAGUUUUUUGUCCAUAAAAAUUUGUAUAAUACCAAAAUAGUUUUUUUUUCAUAAAAAGUUGUCAUGUGUUGUUCUGCUUUGUGUUAUGAUGUUAUGUUCAAUACUUUUGGUUUAACAUAUCAAACGCACCCUUAAAGAUGAAUUUCUAGUAAUUAUGUUACGUGACCGGAAAAAAAAAACUUUCACCCAAAAUAUUGC